rnacentral:rRNA from 1 species
UGGGGAAUAUUGGACAAUGGGCGAAAGCCUGAUCCAGCCAUGCCGCGUGUGUGAAGAAGGUCUUCGGAUUGUAAAGCACUUUAAGUUGGGAGGAAGGGCAGUAAGCGAAUACCUUGCUGUUUUGACGUUACCGACAGAAUAAGCACCGGCUAACUCUGUGCCAGCAGCCGCGGUAAUACAGAGGGUGCAAGCGUUAUUCGGAAUUACUGGGCGUAAAGCGCGCGUAGGUGGUUCGUUAAGUUGAAUGUGAAAGCCUCGGGCUCAACCUGGGAACUGCGUCCACAACUGGCGAGCUAGAGUAGGGCAGAGGGUGGUGGAAUUUCCUGUGUAGCGGUGAAAUGCGUAGAUAUAGGAAGGAACACCAGUGGCGAAGGCGACCACCUGGGCUCAUACUGACACUGAGGUGCCAAAGCGUGGGGAGCAAACAGG